CAUCCCGAGUUAAUUAAAGGAAGGUAAAAAAAGAGUAAAGUUGUAUUUAAUUGAGUAUAAAUUGAGUUAUUUGAACUUGGUAGGCUAAUGUGGCAUUUGUUGGCACUGGCGUGCUUUGCUGAACUCGGCCAAAAUCGCUUAGGCGGUUACAGCGCCAAAAAAGAAGAAGAAAAAGUAAUAUCCAAUGGAAUCAAAGCUGACAUAGAAGCCAGCACUGAUUACAUUACGCCUGCUUGGGGUUCCAAUAGUAAGGUACCUAUUAGGUUCCCGACUAAAGAAGAAUGGCAUACAGGACUGGCAGUAGCUGAGAAAGGUUUAUCCAUCUACACUGAUGGAUCAAAGAUGGGACAAUAAACCGGAGCCGGUCUUUACUCGAAGGACCUGCAGACCAACCCGUCCUUUCGUCUUCCGAAUGACUGCAGUGUCUUCCAGGCAGAUAUCUAUGCUAUAGAAAGAAGAUAACACCACUAUCCUCCACUAGGAACUAAAAUUCUGAAAUCGGGAAAUGGGAAUGUCGCACCACUCUGGCGUCACUGAGUCGUAUCAACGUACAUAUUUCUAUGCUUAGUCCCCUGACAUAGCAAUGUUGAACUGAAUAUGCCUGAGAUGCCAAUAGAACAAACGGAUAGCUCCGUUUAGUGGUCACGUUAGGAAAAUUGAUGCCUUGUGACUUGUGGAACAAACGGGAAGACUGUGCGAGAUUAUUAUGGCCGCGGCUCAGUAGGAAAAAGACGACGGAAGUAGUAAAACUCAAUAGGUUUGCAGUAAGAGACCUUACCGGCGUCAUCACAGGACACUGUGCUAUAUCACCAAUACUUCAACGGUGGCUAAUACCAACAAGUAAUCUAUGCAGAAGUUGCUGUGAUGAGGAUUAGCCGAUUGACCACUUUCUGUGUCGACGUGCCUUAAGCACUUGGAUCUCCUCAACUUCAUUAGGGACAGUAAUGUGUUCAGUAGAAUAAUGGCUUCAAUGUACUCUCUCGAUUAUGGGUACGUGUCUCCUCCUGACAUUCGCUUAAAGAGGGCACUGAAAAUGGACAAGCACAUAAGUCUACCGAGUGAAAGUAUGGAGUAUUCCACACACGCCUUCCUAACCUAACCAUUUCGCCACUGUUAAAAGACUUUAUAGGACCUCGUUUAUCUGUGAACCAGCAUUAACACUGACAAUACUGUAAGAGGGACUGCGGGAGUUGAGUAUAAACUUAACACUGUCCAUCCCGAUCAUCCACGAGCUGUAAAAAAUAAAAACCUAUGAAAGCGUUACUUCUCCCCAGCCUGACGAAGCGCCUCAAACUAGCCUAACAGCAUCAUGGAUUUCGGAAAAUGCAUAACACCACAACAGCAUUGAACGCCAUCACCAUAGAGAUAAGCGAUAGUCUGAACCAACGUCUACCAUCUGGCGGUCCUAGUUUCAGGUAUUCGUUGAAUCGCGCGACGCUUUGCCAAGGACUCGUCGCUUCCACGCCAAUCAGCUGAAUCCGUAACGCCAAGUCUAAGCCCCAUAGAAUUAAAUCGUUAAAACUGUUAUAAUCCGAAAGAUGCAUUUUUACGUGACGAGGUGCUCGUUCACGACUGUUAUGAUUCGACCCCAGGGGUUCCUCAAGCGGGCGUACUCUGCCUGACAAAAACUCUCUCUGCCGCUAGCUGGAAUUAACUUUGUGAGCUUCGCUUUACCACCUGAACUAAGAAGAUCAGGCGCCAUGAUAACAACGCAUCGGUCAACCAUCCUAAAAUCUGGGAGUAUCGUAUCAGAGAAUCUAUCACGAAAACUACCAAAACUUAAGAAAAUCAAAGGAAACCUUCUUAACGUUUUCUCUUUUUUCUUUGUUUUUAAUGAUUAAUAAUCAAAAACUUACAUACAAAAGAUAUAUAGUAAAUAUUUAAGAUCAAUAAUUAUUAUUAUAAUGUGUAAAACUAGAAACUGUAAGCAGACAAUUAUAAUAAAAAAGUUUAGAUAAUUUAUAAUUUUAA
rnacentral:lncRNA from 1 species